UGCAGCAAGAAAACACUUUUGAUAAUUUGCAAUUUAAAUUUAAAUUUAAUAAUUUUAGUGUGUGGCUUAUAAUUGUAUGGUUGUUGUACAUAUGUGCAGGUCUAUUUUCAAUCGUCUUUUUGUGUUGUAAAGCUCAUUUAUACAUUUGUUUGGGAAGAAUUUUAAUCUUGUACUUAUUCUAUUGUAUGUAUUUAUAUUUUUAUCAUUUUAAUACCUUAUGGCCGUAUGAAAUUUCUGCUCGCAAAAAUACAAGUUCUUGGAAACGAAACUUCUACUUGUGCCGUGUAUUUUUAUGCACUUAUUGUAACAAGAUUCUUUUUGUUUCAGUUUUCCUAACAAUUUGACUGUGAAGGAAAAUUCCUUACAAGCCACUGCUAUAAGGAUAUAUUGGACUGCACAUAAAGAAAGCUGGAACCAUUCGCCUCCAGAGUCUUCUCUCACGGUUAUUUAGAUUGUUGGGCAAGGACAAUUGUUUAUUCACUACAUUGGAAAGGUGAUGAGAUCAAUUGGUGCUGAAUUUUAACCCGCUUUGUUUGUUCUACCUGGACCAUUUUAAUAAUAGCAAUUUUAUGAUGAAAAUAUUAUCCAAAUUGAUUUGUAACGGGUUGGAUAAAGAGUCUUGCAAUGAAUGGACAUAAUGUGACAUAUUGAUCACACCAUUGCACAAACUUCUGGAUACCGCAUUUUGAGCGACUUUAGUUGAAAAAAUUCUUUUUCGCAUCGGAAUGUAGCUGUAUCUGAAGGAAGCCAGAAUGUUGUCUGCAGUAGUAUCCCUCCAGGAUUUGGCUUCUUUAUCACACUUGUAGACUACAGAACGCUAGCUUCUGUAUUUAAUUAAGAUUGUUCAGCAGAUGAGCAAGAAUUAAAGUUGAGUUUGUUCAUACUGAAACAACCAAUAUCUACAUGGGUGUCGUCUUUCUUGGAUUAUAUUAGUGAUUUGCUGUUUUCCUCUUCACCUUGCAACAUAAUGUAGUUAACUUUCGAUCGAUGAGGGAGACCAACUGGAGAUUUAUUUGAAUUCUACUGAAGCAACAAAUUUUCUGAUAUGGUAUUCCUCAUGGAUUUGGUUUACUUUUCACACUUGUGAACACUGGAAUGUUACAGGCUAUAGUUAAUUAAGAUCGACAGUGGAGAAGACAAAGAAGAUCCCGUAGUUAAAAUUGUUCUUUAUUUUGUAUGCUCUAUCUAAUAGAAUCAAUUCUUUAAGUUCAUUUUAUUAUAAUCAAUUUUUUAUCUUGCAUGUGUUAUAUAGUUUAUUUAAU